rnacentral:rRNA from 1 species
UUGUAAGUGUGUAAGGGCGUUCGGUGGAUGCCUUGGUACCAGGAGCCGAUGAAGGACGUGGUAGGCCGCGAUAGUCCUCGGGGAGUUGUCAAACGAGCUGUGAUCCGAGGGUGUCCGAAUGGGGAAACCCAGCACGAGUGAUGUCGUGUUACCCACCUCUGAAUGUAUAGGGGGUGUGGAGGGAACGUGGGGAAGUGAAACAUCUCAGUACCCAUAGGAAGAGAAAACAAAAGUGAUUCCGUGAGUAGUGGCGAGCGAAAGCGGAUGAGGCUAAACCAUGCGCAUGUGAUACCGGGUAGGGGUUGUGUGUGUGGUGUUGUGGGGUUCAUCUUCUUCCAUCUGCCUGUGGAAGCGUGAGUCAGAAAAUCGUGUGUUAGGUGAAGUGGCCUGGAAUGGUCUGCCGUAGACGGUGAGAGUCCGGUA